UACGUAGGGUGCAAGCGUUGUCCGGAAUUAUUGGGCGUAAAGAGCUCGUAGGCGGUUUGUCGCGUCUGCUGUGAAAACGCGAGGCUCAACCUCGCGCCUGCAGUGGGUACGGGCAGACUGGAGUGCGGUAGGGGAGAUUGGAAUCCUGGUGUAGCGGUGGAAUGCGCAGAGUAUCAGGAGGAACACCGAUGGCGAAGGCAGAUCUCUGGGCCGUAACUGACGCUGAGGAGCGAAAGCGUGGGGAGCGAACAGG
rnacentral:rRNA from 1 species